GAACGCGACCCCAGGUCAGGCGGGAUCACCCGCUGAGUUUAA
rnacentral:rRNA from 2 species